UCGGAAUUUAACUAUUAAGCUGCCGUGC
rnacentral:sRNA from 1 species